CAGUCGCCACGGUAAUACGUAGGGUGCGAGCGUUAAUCGGAAUUACUGGGCGUAAAGCGUGCGCAGGCGGUUGUGUAAGACAGGUGUGAAAUCCCCGGGCUUAACCUGGGAACUGCGCUUGUGACUGCACAGCUAGAGUAUGGCAGAGGGGGGUGGAAUUCCACGUGUAGCAGUGAAAUGCGUAGAGAUGUGGAGGAACACCGAUGGCGAAGGCAGCCCCCUGGGCCAAUACUGACGCUCAUGCACGAAAGCGUGGGGAGCAAACAGGAUUAGAUACCCGCGUAGUCCCUGUCUCUUAUAA
rnacentral:rRNA from 1 species